CUUUCAGCUAAUGUGAGAGCGCGGCGUACAGCUCAGUAACACGUGGCUAACCUGCCCUUGGGACGGGAAUACCCCCGGGAAACUGGGGCUAAUUCUCGAUAGGUGAAAAAUUCUGGAAUGAAUUUUCUCCUAAAGGACGUUUAUGUCAUGCUCAUAGGCGUUGCCCAGGGAUGGGGCCGCGACCGAUCAGGUAGUUGGUGAGAUAAUGGCUCACCAAGCCUUUUACCGGUACGGGCCGUGAGAGCGGGAGCCCGGAGAUGGGCACUGAGACAAGGGCCCAGGCCCUACGGGGCGCAGCAGUCGCGAAAACUUUGCAAUACACGAAAGUGUGACAAGGCUAUCCCGAGUGCCAUCCGCUGAGGAAGGCUUUUACCCAGUAUAAAUAGCUGGGAGAAUAAGGAGAGGGCAAGUCUGGUGUCAGCCGUCGCGGUAAUACCAGCUCUCCGAGUAGUGUGGAUGUUUAUUGGGCCUAAAGCAUCCGUAGCUUGCUAUGCAAGUCCCCUGUUAAAUCCACCGAUUUAAUCGUUGGACUGCGGGGGAUACUGUUUGGCUAGGGGACGGGAGAGGCCGACGGUAUUUCCGGGGUAGGGGUGAAAUCCUAUAAUCCCGGGAGGACCACCAGUGGCGAAGGCUGUCGGCUAGAACGCGCCCGACGGUGAGGGAUGAAAGCUGGGGGAGCGAACCGGAUUAGAU
rnacentral:rRNA from 1 species